rfam:Ictidomys tridecemlineatus contig023681, whole genome shotgun sequence.
GCCCGGCUAGCUCAGUUGGUAGAGCAUGAGACUCUUAAUCUCAGCUUUGUGGGUUCGAGCCCCACGUUGGGCG